GUAGGGAAUAUUGCACAAUGGAGGAAACUCUGAUGCAGCGACGCCGCGUGAGUGAUGAAGGCCUUCGGGUCGUAAAACUCUGUGAUAAGGGAAGAUGAUGACGGUACCUUAUCAGAAAAGACCGGCUAACUUCGUGCCAGCAGCCGCGGUAAUACGAGGGGUCUAAGCGUUGUUCGGAAUCACUGGGCGUAAAGCGGGUGUAGGUGGCUAUGCAAGUUGGAUGUGAAAGCCCCGGGCUCAACCCGGGAAGUGCAUCCAAAACUACGUAGCUUGAGUGCGGGAGAGAAAGGCAGAAUUCCUGGUGUAGUGGUGAAAUACGUAGAUAUCAGGAGGAACUCCGGUGGCGAAGGCGGCCUUUUGGCCCAGCACUGACACUCAGACCCGAAAGUGUGGGUAGCAAACAGGAUUAGAUACCCGGGUAGUCC
rnacentral:rRNA from 1 species